rnacentral:rRNA from 1 species
UUGAACGCUGGCGGCAGGCCUAACACAUGCGAGUCGAGCGGUAGCACAGAGAGCUUGCUCUCGGGUGACGAGCGGCGGACGGGUGAGUAAUGUCUGGGAAACUGCCUGAUGGAGGGGGAUAACUACUGGAAACGGUAGCUAAUACCGCAUAAUGUCGCAAGACCAAAGUGGGGGACCUUCGGGCCUCAUGCCAUCAGAUGUGCCCAGAUGGGAUUAGCUAGUAGGUGGGGUAACGGCUCACCUAGGCGACGAUCCCUAGCUGGUCUGAGAGGAUGACCAGCCACACUGGAACUGAGACACGGUCCAGACUCCUACGGGAGGCAGCAGUGGGGAAUAUUGCACAAUGGGCGCAAGCCUGAUGCAGCCAUGCCGCGUGUGUGAAGAAGGCCUUCGGGUUGUAAAGCACUUUCAGCGGGGAGGAAGGCGUUAAGGUUAAUAACCUUGGCGAUUGACGUUACCCGCAGAAGAAGCACCGGCUAACUCCGUGCCAGCAGCCGCGGUAAUACGGAGGGUGCAAGCGUUAAUCGGAAUUACUGGGCGUAAAGCGCACGCAGGCGGUCUGUCAAGUCGGAUGUGAAAUCCCCGGGCUCAACCUGGGAACUGCAUUCGAAACUGGCAGGCUAGAGUCUUGUAGAGGGGGGUAGAAUUCCAGGUGUAGCGGUGAAAUGCGUAGAGAUCUGGAGGAAUACCGGUGGCGAAGGCGGCCCCCUGGACAAAGACUGACGCUCAGGUGCGAAAGCGUGGGGAGCAAACAGGAUUAGAUACCCUGGUAGUCCACGCCGUAAACGAUGUCGAUUUGGAGGUUGUGCCCUUGAGGCGUGGCUUCCGGAGCUAACGCGUUAAAUCGACCGCCUGGGGAGUACGGCCGCAAGGUUAAAACUCAAAUGAAUUGACGGGGGCCCGCACAAGCGGUGGAGCAUGUGGUUUAAUUCGAUGCAACGCGAAGAACCUUACCUGGUCUUGACAUCCACAGAACUUUCCAGAGAUGGAUUGGUGCCUUCGGGAACUGUGAGACAGGUGCUGCAUGGCUGUCGUCAGCUCGUGUUGUGAAAUGUUGGGUUAAGUCCCGCAACGAGCGCAACCCUUAUCCUUUGUUGCCAGCGGUUAGGCCGGGAACUCAAAGGAGACUGCCAGUGAUAAACUGGAGGAAGGUGGGGAUGACGUCAAGUCAUCAUGGCCCUUACGACCAGGGCUACACACGUGCUACAAUGGCAUAUACAAAGAGAAGCGACCUCGCGAGAGCAAGCGGACCUCAUAAAGUAUGUCGUAGUCCGGAUUGGAGUCUGCAACUCGACUCCAUGAAGUCGGAAUCGCUAGUAAUCGUAGAUCAGAAUGCUACGGUGAAUACGUUCCCGGGCCUUGUACACACCGCCCGUCACACCAUGGGAGUGGGUUGCAAAAGAAGUAGGUAGCUUAACCUUCGGGAGGGCGCUUACCACUUUGUGAUUCAUGACUGGGGUG